CGCGGGGCAGCAGGAGCGGACUGAGCCGGCCUCCGGGGCCGCGGGUGCUUGAAGGAUUAAUUAUUUGAUUUUCAGACUACUCUAAGACGACACUGACAUGCAGCUCAGACGGGGAGUAAAAGGGGCUUCGUCCUAGCAGCUUGCAGGCAGAAGCUUGGUGGGAGUCAUGGUCAUGCUGCCAGCCGGCCUGAGAGGUAUUCACUUGGGACCUUGAACAUGUGCUGGGUAAGCUUUGGAGAGUGACUUUCCUAACAGAGCCUUGCUUGAUGCUUGGCAAGAAGAUUAAACAAAAGGGCUUACUGACUGACUCCACAUCGAUAGUCCCCAAAGCUCUCCACCCUGGGAUCUUCUCUGGAAUCAAACAGAUUUGGCCCCUCUCCUCCAAGUCAGCCAGCUUCAUCCUCCUCGCUACUUAACCAGCCUGUGUGUCAGCAACCCAGGAGCCCCAGUCCUCAGUGCCCCCUGAGGGACGUCUCUCCCUUUCCACAGUCCUCAGAGGCAAGGCCAGGGAAGGUGGGCUGAGCCUUCUAGUUUCCAUUUGGUGGGAAAGACAGAACCCUGCUCUUCCCGAAAGAGACAAAUCACCCAAGCUCUGGGGCUAGAAAGACAAAACACUCCUUAAAUUAAUUUUGAGUCUAAGCCACAACUUGGGCAAGGAUUAAGCUGAGUCAAACAAGGACGGGUGGGGAGGCCAGUGCUCCAGUCAGGGCUGCCCCUGAUCAUCAAGGAACUUAGGGCCCUCUAAUGUCCUUCUCAAAGUACUCCCAACCCUCCCCACGCUGCCCCAGGGAGCAGUGGGGCAACCCGCAUCACAUGGCAGGAACACAGGAUUCAGGGCAGAGCAGGAGUUGCCUGGAAACCAAGGGAGAAAAACCAAUAUGGGAUGUUCAAUAUGGGGGGGGGGGUCUACAGGCCUCCAGGGGAAAAAAAAGCAAAGAAAUGGGCAGUGCACAUUUCUGGAGGUAGGUCCUGCUGAUUUCAUGGGAUUCCCCAAAAGGUUCAGACCUGCUAGUCUAGGACGACAGCACAUAGUACUUAAAAACUAUCCAGAACUAAGUAUUUUUUUGGUGGCGGGGAGGAAUUACUGGAUGGAUGUAAUUAUAAUAAAAUUAUCUCAUCUGGAGACAGGAUGCUGCUUUCCACAGCUGCCUGCCAUCACUUGAUGGAAAAUGAAAAUGUCCCUGGACCAGCAUGACUUUUUCCAUGGGAUGAAACAGGCAAGUGAUCUGCAGUCAGACUAAAAACAUAAAUUAAAAAAAUGUAUUGUUGAGAUUAGCCCUUUGGUCUCCUGGAUUCCCUCCACUGCAAACGCUGUCUCUGGGUGACAUGCAUCUGACAGGCUCUUCCCCAGAUUUUUAAAGCCCCGAACAAUGAAAUCACCGCUGUUCUGUAGGUCAGAGGGAAAGAUCAUUUCUGCAAAUCUUUCGUUGAAAGGACCUACGGUGGGUCCAAACAGCGCCCUGGCCCCUCCCUGGGGGAGGCGGGAACACAGAACAUAAACACGCAGCUUCCUGAAACUUCUUCACUCCCUU